GACGAACGCUGGCGGCGUGCUUAACACAUGCAAGUCGAACGGAAAGGCCCUGCUUUUGUGGGGUGCUCGAGUGGCGAACGGGUGAGUAACACGUGAGUAACCUGCCCUUGACUUUGGGAUAACUUCAGGAAACUGGGGCUAAUACCGGAUAGGAGCUCCUGCUGCAUGGUGGUGGUUGGAAAGUUUCGGCGGUUGGGGAUGGACUCGCGGCUUAUCAGCUUGUUGGUGGGGUAGUGGCUUACCAAGGCUUUGACGGGUAGCCGGCCUGAGAGGGUGAGCGGCCACACUGGGACUGAGAUACGGCCCAGACUCCUACGGGAGGCAGCAGUGGGGAAUAUUGAACAAGGGGCGGAGGCCUGAUGCAGAAACGCCGCGGGCGGGAUGACGGUCUUCGGGUUGUAAACCGCUUUCGCAUGUGACGAAGCGUGAGUGACGGUAAUGGGUAAAGAAGCACCGGCUAACUACGUGC
rnacentral:rRNA from 1 species